UCACACAAGAGACCCAAAUUAACCGUAUACGGCGUAAAGAGUGGCACUAUGAUAUCACAGUGACUAGGAUUAAGAUGCAACUAAGCUGUCAUAAGCCCAAGGUGUACUUAAGAUCACCCUUAAGAUGAUCCUAGUACUUCUGAUUGAUUUAACCCCACGAAAGCUAGGGCACAAACUGGGAUUAGAUACCCCACUAUGCCUAGCCCUAAAUCUCGAUGCUUGCCGUACCAAAGCAUCCGCCCGAGAACUACGAGCACAAACGCUUAAAACUCUAAGGACUUGGCGGUGCCCCAAACCCAUCUAGAGGAGCCUGUUCUAUAAUCGAUAACCCACGAUUCACCCGACCACCUCUCGCCAAAGCAGCCUACAUACCGCCGUCGCCAGCUCACCUUCCCUGAAAGCCCAAUAGUGAGCACAAUAGCCCAACCUGCUAGUAAGACAGGUCAAGGUAUAGCCCAUGAGGUGGAAGAAAUGGGCUACAUUUUCUACGAUAGAAAA
rnacentral:rRNA from 1 species